UGGGAGAUGCUUCAAUUCACAGCAGAGACAACACGUUUGACGCAGUCACAAGUGCUGCAUCAUUGACCUUCCAGUUUUUACGACCAGAGUGUACCACGGAGGUAUCCACUGCCGGUUUUUCAAAGACCAAUCAAAUGCUUUAGGGUUUUUAUUCCACGUAAACACCAAAUUGUUCAUGUACUUGAAUGGCAUCUCUCUCCACUCUGCUGG
rnacentral:lncRNA from 1 species